GCGGCGCAUUAGCUAGUUGGUGAGGUAACGGCUCACCAAGGCGACGAUGCGUAGCCGACCUGAGAGGGUGAUCGGCCACACUGGGACUGAGACACGGCCCAGACUCCUACGGGAGGCAGCAGUAGGGAAUCUUCCGCAAUGGACGAAAGUCUGACGGAGCAACGCCGCGUGAGUGAUGAAGGUUUUCGGAUCGUAAAGCUCUGUUGUUAGGGAAGAACAAGUGCCGUUCAAAUAGGGCGGCACCUUGACGGUACCUAACCAGAAAGCCACGGCUAACUACGUGCCAGCAGCCGCGGUAAUACGUAGGUGGCAAGCGUUGUCCGGAAUUAUUGGGCGUAAAGGGCUCGCAGGCGGUUUCUUAAGUCUGAUGUGAAAGCCCCCGGCUCAACCGGGGAGGGUCAUUGGAAACUGGGGAACUUGAGUGCAGAAGAGGAGAGUGGAAUUCCACGUGUAGCGGUGAAAUGCGUAGAGAUGUGGAGGAACACCAGUGGCGAAGGCGACUCUCUGGUCUGUAACUGACGCUGAGGAGCGAAAGCGUGGGGAGCGAACAGGAUUAGAUACCCUGGUAGUCCACGCCGUAAACGAUGAGUGCUAAGUGUUAGGGGGUUUCCGCCCCUUAGUGCUGCAGCUAACGCAUUAAGCACUCCGCCUGGGGAGUACGGUCGCAAGACUGAAACUCAAAGGAAUUGACGGGGGCCCGCACAAGCGGUGGAGCAUGUGGUUUAAUUCGAAGCAACGCGAAGAACCUUACCAGGUCUUGACAUCCUCUGACAAUCCUAGAGAUAGGACGUCCCCUUCGGGGGCAGAGUGACAGGUGGUGCAUGGUUGUCGUCAGCUCGUGUCGUGAGAUGUUGGGUUAAGUCCCGCAACGAGCGCAACCCUUGAUCUUAGUUGCCAGCAUUCAGUUGGGCACUCUAAGGUGACUGCCGGUGACAAACCGGAGGAAGGUGGGGAUGACGUCAAAUCAUCAUGCCCCUUAUGACCUGGGCUACACACGUGCUACAAUGGACAGAACAAAGGGCAGCGAAACCGCGAGGUUAAGCCAAUCCCACAAAUCUGUUCUCAGUUCGGAUCGCAGUCUGCAACUCGACUGCGUGAAGCUGGAAUCGCUAGUAAUCGCGGAUCAGCAUGCCGCGUGAUACGUUCCCGG
rnacentral:rRNA from 1 species